AACGUACUUUUAGAGUAGCAAUUAUUUUAAAAGGAGUGGCGCGACGGGUGAGUAACACGUAGGUAAUCUGCCUUCAGGACUGACACAACUCGUCGAAAGACGGGCUAAUAUCAGAUAAUGCAGCGGCUCCGCAUGGAGACAGUUGUUAAAGUACAAGCGCCUGAAGAUGAGCCUGCGGUCCAUUAGCUAGUUGGUAGAGUAACAGCCUACCAAGGCAACGAUGGAUAGCUGGUCUGAGAGGAUGAUCAGCCACACUGGAACUGAGACACGGUCCAGACUCCUACGGGAGGCAGCAGUAAGGAAUAUUGCUCAAUGGCCGAAAGGCUGAAGCAGCAACGCCGCGUGAAGGAUGAAUGGCCUUUGGCCUGUAAACUUCUGUAAAAGGGAAAACAAUCAGGCAUGUCCUGAUUUGAUUGUACCUUUGAAGUAAGCCCCGGCUAACUACGUG
rnacentral:rRNA from 1 species